GAUCGAUGUGCAGAUUGACAGACGAUCUAGUGGUCAUUCUGCUCACAGGGGUGAGGGAGGGAUUUCCUUAAGUUUAUGGAAACUGCAGGCAGAGUCUGGUGCAGGGUUUCUUGGGUUUGGCGUUCUACCAUGCCCUUCCCUCCACCCCAAAUUCUUACCUUCACUUGUCCAUCAGAAGGAUUCCCACACCAAACCCAACAUCUUUCCAGACCCAACUAAAACUCCUCCUCCUCCUCAGGGAAGCCUUCCCAGCUCCUCCUUCAGACAGAAGAACUCUUCCUCCAGGAUUCUCAAAGCACUUGCCCAUUUUCAUCACCCAGGCAGUCCCGGAGCAGAGCAUCGCACAGCAGAUGGACAUAAAAGGAGGGAAGGAAGGAAGGAAGGGGAGUUCCCUCGUGACCUAGUGACUAGGACUUGGCGCUUUCACCGCUGCAGCCCAGGUUCAAUCCCUGGCCUAGGAACUAAGAUCCUGUGUCAAGCCACUGCUGCUGCUGCAGCAGGGACGCAAGGAGAAAGGAGAGAAGACUUGCGAAUAUGAAGAGAUGGCGUCUGAUUGAAAUUUCAAGAGAGAUUGGAUUUUUAAAUCGGGGAAGGAGCUCAGAUUUAGCCUGUUUGGGGGGUCUACUGCUAGACACUCCUUUGGCUCCCUCCCUGCUCCUUCCCUUCCAGGAGUGGGGAUGUGAAGCCCUGCUGUUAAAAGCUGGAGAGACAGAUUUUUCUGGACUCCUCCCUCCCUUACUCCUGUGUGAGCUUGUAAGUUACCGGACCUCUCUCGCCCCUUCAUUCCUUUAUCUCUGGAGCCAGAGCAGCAAUAUCCACACUCUGGGUGGCUGAUAAUGUCUCUAAAACAUGCAGCCCAAUUCCUGGCCAGGAGUAAAUGCUGGCCCUGUGUUGUUGUCAUCAGCUGCCCUCAAGGAUUCCCAGUGCCUAUCAUGUUAGCAAGUUCAUCAGCAGCCUGACCUCACAGCUCUCCCUUAACACAUUUGUAAUCCUUGGUGGCCACUUCUGCCUGCCCAGGCUUCUCCCCCUGGAGGUCAGAGUCCAGAGUCAGUGAUUUUUUGCUAGCCUGGUGUGUGUUUCUGGGACUCCGAGGCUCUGGAGACCCCCGUGAUGGCACCCAGCCCGGGAGCUGGUGUCGCAGGAAUUUUCUGCAGUGUCCCCUGAGAGUUCUGUGUGUGUGUGUGUGUGUUGGCAGCAGCUGCUGAGGCCAGAGAAGCUGGGCUGCGAGGCGCGGCCCCUCUUGGGAGGAAAGAACUGGCCACCCACCUGGAGGGAGCGAGGGGAAGCGGGGCAGCCGCCCACCCCCACUCUGCUUCGCAGGUGGACCAGAGCCGACUUGGUGGGUGUCUCCUCACUCAAGGGGCUCCUCAGAGGGGGGGGGAGAUGCGAGCUAGAACUCACCUGUACACGUACCUGCUUCAUUUCUGAGCCUCUGUAACCCUCUGGAGCAGGGCCUUCUACGACUGGAGAAAGGUCCCUUCUACUUCCAUUUCUUGAAGCUUCUGUUACAUUUUUGAGAAAUGGAUAAAUGCCAAAAUGGGGUCAUGAAAAGGACAAUGUAUACGUUAUUCAUUGAUUUUUUUUUUUUUUAACAAAAAAGCACUAACUGGAUGACUACAUUUGGAGAUAACAUGGAGGUCACAUUUCGGGCUUCCUGUGCAGGGGAGACUCGGGCCCUCCCAGCCCUGCCGCCUCCCACCUUGCUGUCCUGUGUGGUCCUCGCCAGGUCAUCAGGUCGGUGUGGAAAGUAGGGAGGGGAAGGGGGGACACUUGCAACCUGUGUUCAAGCAGGGAGGGGGUGGACCCUGAAGGGAAGCGGGCUGGUACUGGGCCUUGUGGGGACAUAGCUUCCUCCCUGUAAGGAUGUGAGGGCGACCAGAGGACCCCAGUCAUUCCUGCAGUGGUCCACCCAGGCUCAGAGCCAAUCAGGCCCGUCUCUGGCUAUUCCUUCCAACCUGGGAUCACAGCCACAUCCCCUUAUUGCAGGAGCAGAUCCCCACACUCAGCCCUGGGCCCCAGGAGCACUGCCUACCGUGCCUGGACUUGUCGAUGCUCCCCAGGACCCUGGGAAUGAGAGGAGGAUUGGGGAAGGGAGGGCGCUGGGGCAAGAGGGUGGACGGACAACCGCACACAUGAUCACGGAGGCAUCAAGGCUCCCCCGUGUCUGAAAAGAAGACUUCGGGCCCCUGAACUGUGUGGAAAAGAUGGGUUGAGGGAACUGGAUGGGCCCAGCCCGGUUUGACCAGGCCCGGAGCUGACCUCUCAUUGUGGCCUCUCAGUGCCUGAGGCUGUCCUUGGUCUAAAGAAUGCAGCAGGAGAGCCCUUGAACUUGUCCUUGGACCUGCUGACCAUGUUGAGGGCUAGUUUGGUUUGGCUCCAAGCCACUGGGUCUGGCCAUGGGGAUAGAAGUCCCUGGUCAGCUUUCUGGAUUCGCAGGCACAUAGCGAGGACAUGGCUAAGGAGAGACCCUUGCCCCGUGUCCCCACAGCUACCCCUGGGUCGGGCCAGGCUCGUGGGACAGGCGCACAUAAUCUCUGAAUCUGCACAAAAUCUGGAAGCUGCACAAAACCUGGGCACUGCUGCUGUUCCAUGUUUGGCCCUAAGGAACCUGCCCAGAGUGUCAAGAGGAAUAAGUUUUAGGGCGGAGCACGGGCGCCUGGGGUUCUCAAAAUGCGGCACUUGUCCCUUAGGUCUGGAUGAAAUUGCAAAGGGCUGAACACCAAAGUGUGUCUUUUCUGGUCGCAGCUGCCUAUGCUGAUAUUCUCUUUUUGUUCCUCCAGGACCCUUCUGCCUUCUCCUCUCUGCUCCCCACCUCAGGCGGAACUUCACACCAGCAUCAAAGGCCCCCCUGCCCUCUAGCUUCCCACCGGGCUCGGCCAAGGAACCACCAAGAGAUCCAAGAAGGAGAGAUUCGAGGAGGUGGCAGUGGAGGCCCGAGGAGGGCGAGAAUUUCUUCUAAGGAAUCCAGAGGAGCCCUCUACCAGUCCUUUUCCAGCCUGGCUGAAGGACGGCGUGCAAAACUGGAGCUUUCAUGUGGGCUUGGUGCCAUCUAGUGGCUAAGGAGCCACCUUUCAUCGCGUGGGUCCGUUGGCCCUCUAGCGGGACGGAUAUACUCUGACUUAGGUGUGCAGGAAAAUCUCCUGGAUGCUUGUUAAAAAUGAGGACUCCUGGGGUCUAGACCCUGAAGCUCUAACUCAGUUUGUCUGGCAGGAAUUCAGGAAUAUGUUUUUCUAACUGGCACCUCACAUGUUUGUGAGGCAAGGCUCUGGACCACACUUAGAAAACAGCUCUUGUGAAGACUGUAUCUUCUAGGUGUCCGGCUUUGUGUGGAUAAUCAUGUCCACGGACACGCUUCUAAAAACUGUGCUGACCGUGCCUAAAUCUGUAUCUUCAGCAAAAUCUCCUGAGUGUCAGGCUUGUAUUUUUUCACCGGUGGCUUCAUAAAUAUCCUAGAAAUAGACACCCAGAUUCAGCGUUGUUGUCUCUGAAUCUCUGUACCUCAUCCCCAACCCCUGCUUUUUGGGGGGCCACACCCAUGGCAUGGGGAAGUUACUGCACCAGGGAUCAAACCCAGAGAUCAAACAAAAAAGUGAUUAUAUAUUGCAUAUAUAAUCCCAUGUAUAGUAUAGAUUAUGUAUAUAAUUCUAUGUAUAUUAUAUAUUAUGUAUAUGAUAUAUAGCAAUGUUAUAUAUAGUAUUAUAAUAUAUAAUAUAGAUCUUCUUCCUCUUC
ensembl:lncRNA